rnacentral:rRNA from 1 species
CCUACGGGAGGCAGCAGUGAGGAAUAUUGCGCAAUGGGCGAAAGCCUGACGCAGCGACGCCGCGUGGGGGAAGAAGGCCUUCGGGUCGUAAAUCCCUGUAGGAAGGAAAGAAGUGACGCAGCUAACAACUGUGUCAUGACGGUACCUUCGAAGGAAGCACUGGCAAACUCCGUGCCAGCAGCCGCGGUAAGACGGAGAGUGCAAGCGUUGUCCGGAUUUACUGGGCGUAAAGGGCGUGUAGGAGGCUUUGAAAGUCGAGUGUGAAAUCCUCUGGCCCAACCAGAGAAGUGCGCUCGAAACUUCAGAGCUUGAGUACGGGAGGGGGAAGCGGAACUCCCGGUGUAGAGGUGAAAUUCGUAGAUAUCGGGAGGAACACCGGUGGCGAAGGCGGCUUCCUGGACCGUUUCUGACGCUGAUACGCGAAAGCGUGGGGAGCAAACAGGAUUAGAUACCCCAGUAGUC